GAUGAACGCUGGCGGCGUGCCUAAUACAUGCAAGUCGAGCGAACGGACGAGAAGCUUGCUUCUCUGAUGUUAGCGGCGGACGGGUGAGUAACACGUGGAUAACCUACCUAUAAGACUGGGAUAACUUCGGGAAACCGUAGCUAAUACCGGAUAAUAUUUUGAACCGCAUGGUUCAAAAGUGAAAGACGGUCUUGCUGUCACUUAUAGAUGGAUCCGCGCUGCAUUAGCUAGUUGGUAAGGUAACGGCUUACCAAGGCAACGAUGCAUAGCCGACCUGAGAGGGUGAUCGGCCACACUGGAACUGAGACACGUUCCAGACUCCUACGGGAGGCAGCAGUAGGGAAUCUUCCGCAAUGGGCGAAAGCCUGACGGAGCAACGCCGCGUGAGUGAUGAAGGUCUUCGGAUCGUAAAACUCUGUUAUUAGGGAAGAACAGAUGUGUAAGUAACUGUGCACAUCUUGACGGUACCUAAUCAGAAAGCCACGGCUAACUACGUG
rnacentral:rRNA from 1 species